rnacentral:rRNA from 1 species
AGAGUUUGAUCCUGGCUCAGGACGAACGCUGGCGGCGUGCUUAACACAUGCAAGUCGAACGGUAAGGCCCUUCGGGGUACACGAGUGGCGAACGGGUGAGUAACACGUGGGUAAUCUGCCCUGCACAUCGGGAUAAGCCUGGGAAACUGGGUCUAAUACCGAAUAGGACCACAGGACACAUGUCCUGUGGUGGAAAGCUUUUGCGGUGUGGGAUGGGCCCGCGGCCUAUCAACUUGUUGGUGGGGUGAUGGCCUACCAAGGCGACGACGGGUAGCCGGCCUGAGAGGGUGUCCGGCCACACUGGGACUGAGAUACGGCCCAGACUCCUACGGGAGGCAGCAGUGGGGAAUAUUGCACAAUGGGCGAAAGCCUGAUGCAGCGACGCCGCGUGGGGGAUGACGGCCUUCGGGUUGUAAACCUCUUUCACCAUCGACGAAGGUCCGGGUUUUCUCGGGCUGACGGUAGGUGGAGAAGAAGCACCGGCCAACUACGUGCCAGCAGCCGCGGUAAUACGUAGGGUGCGAGCGUUGUCCGGAAUUACUGGGCGUAAAGAGUUCGUAGGUGGUUUGUCGCGUUGUUCGUGAAAUCUCACGGCUUAACUGUGAGCGUGCGGGCGAUACGGGCAGACUUGAGUACUGCAGGGGAGACUGGAAUUCCUGGUGUAGCGGUGAAAUGCGUAGA